AACGAACGCUGGCGGCAGGCUUAACACAUGCAAGUCGAGCGCGUAGCAAUACGAGCGGCAGACGGGUGAGUAACGCGUGGGAAUCUACCGUACCCUACGGAAUAGCUCUGGGAAACUGGAGGUAAUACCGUAUACGCCCGAACGGGGAAAGAUUUAUCGGGGUAUGAUGGGCCCGCGUUGGAUUAGCUAGUUGGUGGGGUAAAGGCCUACCAAGGCGACAAUCCAUAGCUGGUCUGAGAGAAUGAUCAGCCACAUUGGGACUGAGACACGGCCCAAACUCCUACGGGAGGCAGCAGUGGGGAAUAUUGGACAAUGGGCGCAAGCCUGAUCCAGCCAUGCCGCGUGAGUGAUGAAGGUCUUAGGAUUGUAAAGCUCUUUCACCGAUGAAGAUAAUGACGGUAGUCGGAGAAGAAGCCCCGGCUAACUUCGUGCCAGCCGCCGCCGUAA
rnacentral:rRNA from 1 species